rnacentral:rRNA from 1 species
GAUGAACGCUGGCGGCGUGCCUAAUACAUGCAAGUCGAGCGAACAGACGAGGAGCUUGCUCCUUUGACGUUAGCGGCGGACGGGUGAGUAACACGUGGGUAACCUACCUAUAAGACUGGGAUAACUUCGGGAAACCGGAGCUAAUACCGGAUAAUAUUUCGAACCGCAUGGUUCGAUAGUGAAAGAUGGCUUUGCUAUCACUUAUAGAUGGACCUGCGCCGUAUUAGCUAGUUGGUAAGGUAACGGCUUACCAAGGCAACGAUACGUAGCCGACCUGAGAGGGUGAUCGGACACACUGGAACUGAGACACGGUCAAGACUCCUACGGGAGGCAGCAGUAGGGAAUCUUCCGCAAAGGGCGAAAGCCUGACGGAGCAACGCCGCGUGAGUGAUGAAGGUCUUCGGAUCGUAAAACUCUGUUAUUAGGGAAGACCAAACGUGUAAGUAACUGUGCACGUCUUGACGGUACCUAAUCAGAAAGCCACGGCUAACUACGUG